GUGAAUCAUCGAAUCUUUGAACGCAAAUUGCACUCUCCUCGAAGCGUAUGCCUGUUUGAGGUUCAGCCUAUAAAAAAUCGACAUCGUUUCUGUUUCGCGUUGGCGUUCGUCGGUAGUUGGGUCAUCUUAACUCUGUUCGUUUUAAGCGACUUACAAUUUUCUUUUUGGUUCCAUGAACGUUU
rnacentral:misc_RNA from 1 species